rnacentral:piRNA from 1 species
UGCCUGAGAGAUGAGACAAGACGCAAUAGG